rnacentral:rRNA from 1 species
GUCCAGACUCCUACGGGAGGCAGCAGUGAGGAAUAUUGGUCAAUGGCCGGGAGGCUGAACCAGCCAAGUCGCGUGAGGGAAGACGGCCCUACGGGUUGUAAACCUCUUUUGUCAGGGAGCAAGGUGCAGGUCGGGACCUGCUGUGAGAGUACCUGAAGAAAAAGCAUCGGCUAACUCCGUGCCAGCAGCCGCGGUAAUACGGAGGAUGCGAGCGUUAUCCGGAUUUAUUGGGUUUAAAGGGUGCGUAGGUGGUUAAUUAAGUCAGCGGUGAAAGUUUGUGGCUCAACCAUAAAAUUGCCGUUGAAACUGGUUGACUUGAGUAUAUUUGAGGUAGGCGGAAUGCGUGGUGUAGCGGUGAAAUGCAUAGAUAUCACGCAGAACUCCGAUUGCGAAGGCAGCUUACUAAACUAUAACUGACACUGAAGCACGAAAGCGUGGGGAUCAAACAGGAUUAGAUACCCCUGUA